rnacentral:lncRNA from 1 species
ACAAGCCUCUUAAGUAGGAAGUGGGAUGUGCUGCAUUAAUCAAGGCUUGAUUGGAAGUCUCGUGUAGGUUGCAUGUACUGAAAAGGAAGACCUGGUAAAGCAUUCCUUUCUUGGGCAAUUUUCCCUCUCUUGGGAGUUCUUCAGCAAGAAAUACAAUCCUUUGAUAAGAAUCUAUUACAGGGAAUAUCUUUGCUGGGUUCUUACUUUGUAGAUAAGUGAGAAGUGUAGACACAAAUUAAAUUGUGAUUUACUAAGGCUUCUUUAAGCCACUUUCUAACUUUGUGGGUCCCUAGUGCACCAGAGUGAAACAACAACAGUAUUACAGCUCUUAAAUGUUUUCUUCUAUUGUCUGUAUUUCAUUGUGUGUACACUCAAAUCAGGUAUCAAAGCUUUGUUUCAUUAGUUACUUUUAUUUUUUGGCCAUCAUGGUCUGUUGCCAGCAGCUGUUAGAGUUGAUAGGAACUGCAAGGGAGCAGAAGAGUUGCCAGACCAGGUCAUCUGCCUCCCAGCCUGCAAAGCCCGACACUUGUGUCUUGUCUGCCAAGUCAGCUCAGGGGUCCUGCUGCCUGGAUGUGUCUAUGCCAUGCAAUGGGGUCCUGUCCUCAGGACCCGCUGUUUGCUCCUGUCCCUGGUCUGCCCCCUUGCUUGGGCUGCUGCAGCGCCCCGGGUUCACCCUGUGAAUUGGACCAGUUGACUGCCACAGCAGGGGGUGACUCAAGUCUUACCUCUCACAUCUGCCAUGAGUUUUGAGAACUACCGAAUCCUUCUGGCUGCAGCACCCAUGGUGACAACAUUGGUACUUCACAUCUUAUUUUCAGCCCUGUGGAGAGGUGAGAUGUUAAGAGAGAAGGAGCUAGAACAAAGAGGGAGAUCUUAAUCCUCCUUCAUUUUGAACAUCAAUGUUUAGCUGCCUCUGGCUAGAGUUUUAAGACCAUGGUAGGUUGUCACUGUCCCUCCCACUUCUCUCUUAGGAGGAGGGUGAACACCCCCAUGCAUCUCUGCCAGGAAGGCAUUAAGCUUUUCACCCGAUGCCAGCUCCUCCAGGCCCUCUUGUUAAGCUUUUCCUCUCAGGCAAUUCCUCUAGCAGCUCUUUGGCAAUACCUACCCUGUUCCAGGUCUGCAAAACUGAGUCAUCAGCAUCCCUUCCAUGGCUGUUUGUUGGAGUAGGAAGUGUUGUUUGCCUCCACAGAUUAUAAAAGAGAAGCAUAAUUUGUGUCUCUCCGAGCUACUUACUGUUUAGAGUGUAUGUGUUUAGAGGAGCAAGAACUAUCUUUGUGUCAUUUAUUCCUACAAAGCAUAGUUAAUUCUGGCCUGGAUUUUGAAAGCUCAUCCAUGCCAGCCGAAUUACACGUUCCUUGCAGAGUAGGCAAAAAGUCGAGGUUGCAAUCAAUACCUAAAAUGUUCCUGAAAUAUGCUUUGCUUUAUUGCUUCCUCUGUUUCGUUAUCUUCUAGUCCUCCUGAAGCCUCUGGGGGAUUGCUGCUGAGCUGAUGCUCCUUGCUUGUGUGGGUUGUCUGCACCAGACUGCUCCGAUCCUGCACAUGCAGGGCCUGGGAGCUGCUGUGCUGCGAGAGGAUGCGGGAGCUGUUAGGACCAUGCUUUAAAAUGUCUGGUUCCUGAUUCUUGCUUUUAUAAAUAGCUUUCAAAUUGUAAUAAUCAAUUUAAGAUUUUGGGAGAAAGAAUCUUCCUUUCAGAGAUGUGCUAAAUAUAUGCAGUUCCUGUUUCUCCCAUUAGUAUCAAUACUGGGCUAAGCAUGCGUGAAUCACCCAGCGAGGUACUCAAGCCAGCCUAGGGACGAUAUGAUCCCGAGUUGCCCUCUUGGAAUUUCUUGGCACGUUUCAAAGGCAGAAUAAGAUGCUCCUAAACACUCUGCUUAAGCCUACAGUAACUUGCAGGCCAAUCUUUAUAGAUACUAAAUAAAUAAGGGUCAAAGAUCCCCA